ensembl:lncRNA
CCAAAUUUAAGGCUAAAAGGAUGACAUUCAAGGUAUUUUUAAUCCUGCUAAAUGUCAGGACAGGUCCAAUUUGACCCAAACAAUAUGUAAAGGUUAACAAUACCCUCAAUUAACUGGUGGGUGUCAGAUCUGCUAACAAUGUACAUUGUUUAGCAACGACUCAUUAUUCCCCUCAACCCAUCCUCACUCCUCUGCCAGCAACUGCAUCUUUAUCACAGGGUUGAGUAAUGUCACUCCUGCUUUGCCCCCUGCACUAAUUAUCAGAUCUCUAAUCAUCAGUUUAUCACACUUUCUUAAAUGAGCAGAAACAAGGCCAGUAUUGAGGCCCAUCUUAUUGACCGUAUCGACUGCGUGGAAAAGAGAAGGGUGGUGGUGGUCUGAGGUGGGAAAAAUGUUGAAGAGAAAAUUGAUUUUUAGGAAUGUUCAUCAAUUCAUAACUGGAGUUCAAAUAGUAGAGCUAUUAUGUUAACCAGCUGAGCUUUCUUUUAAUGGUGUUUUUUUUUUUUUUUUUUUUGUAAAAACUGCUUCCAAAAGAACCAAACGAGUCAAGUGCACAUUUUUCCCUUAUUAUCAUUUCCCCCCUUCAUAGUGGCAAUUCAUAUGAUUUUCCUUUUAUUUGGUUGCCGCUACAUAGUCACUUUACUACAGGUGGGAAUGAAAGGAAAAGGCUGAAUGAAAGAAUGGCACAACACAAAAUAUGCAAAUGAUUCCACACAGAUUCAUCGCAUGACACAAUUGGGCAAUUAACAGCUAAUCACGCUCUGUGUUCAGCUGACUGGUGUGUCAGUAGAUUCAGUGCAUUUAGAACUAUGGCAGACACCAGAGUCAGAAACAGAGAUGGGAAAGUGCGCGUUUACAGACCUUGAUACUUGUGCAUUAGUGCCAUAUGCAUGGAAAAACAGAGGAUCAACUCUACCUUAGAAAAUGUCAGUGGCGUGAUUAAACUGCAAGCAAGACUAGUCAAUAAAUUCUUCAAAUACAGAGAAAUUUUUUUAUACCGAGCUUUAAGUGGAAAAACUCAAUUUUAAGAUGAAUGCACACUUUAGAAGUCAGCAUUGUUCUGCAGAGAUGCAAAGAGAAGGUGAUAUGGUGAGAUGAGUCAU